UACGGAGGGCGCGAGCGUUGUCCGGAAUCAUUGGGCGUAAAGGGUGCGUAGGCGGCCUGACAAGUCUGAUGUGAAAUCCCUGGGCUCAACCCAGGGCCUGCAUCGGAAACUGUCGGGCUUGAGUAUGGGAGAGGUGAGUGGAAUUUCCGGUGUAGCGGUGAAAUGCGUAGAUAUCGGAAGGAACACCUGUGGCGAAAGCGGCUCACUGGACCAUUACUGACGCUGAGGCACGAAAGCUAGGGGAGCAAACAGG
rnacentral:rRNA from 1 species